rnacentral:rRNA from 1 species
CCAAUAGCGUAUAUUAAAGUUGUUGCAGUUAAAAAGCUCGUAGUUGAAUUUCGGGAUCAAUAUGUCGGUCGUGCCUCUGGUACGUACUGGUAUCGUUGAUUUCUACCUUCUGACGAACCAUGAUGUCAUUAAUUUGGUGUCAUGGGAAAUCAGGACUGUUACUUUGAAAAAAUUAGAGUGUUUAAAGCAGGCACACGCUUGAAUACAUUAGCAUGGAAUAAUGAAAUAGGACGUUUGAUUCUAUUUUGUUGGUUUCUAGGGUCGACGUAAUGAUUAAUAGGGAUAGUUGGUGGCAUUAGUAUUCAAUUGUCAGAGGUGAAAUUCUUGGAUUUAUUGAAGACUGACUACUGCGAAAGCAUUUGCCAAGGAUGUUUUCAUUAAUCAAGAACGAAAGUUAGGGGAUCGAAGACGAUCAGAUACCGUCGUAGUCUUAACCAUAAACUAUGCCGACUAGGGAGCGGAUGAUGUUAAUUUUUCAAUGACUCAUUCGGCGCCUUACG